rnacentral:rRNA from 1 species
ACAACGGGCCAGACCCCUACGGGAGGCAGCAGUGGGGGAUAUUGCGCAAUGGGGGCAACCCUGACGCAGCAACGCCGCGUGAAGGAUGAAGGUUUUCGGAUUGUAAACUUCUUUUAUUAAGGACGAAAAAUGACGGUACUUAAUGAAUAAGCUCCGGCUAACUACGUGCCAGCAGCCGCGGUAAUACGUAGGGAGCAAGCGUUGUCCGGAUUUACUGGGUGUAAAGGGUGCGUAGGCGGCUUUGCAAGUCAGAUGUGAAAUCUAUGGGCUCAACCCAUAAACUGCAUUUGAAACUGUAGAGCUUGAGUGAAGUAGAGGCAGGCGGAAUUCCCCGUGUAGCGGUGAAAUGCGUAGAGAUGGGGAGGAACACCAGUGGCGAAGGCGGCCUGCUGGGCUUUAACUGACGCUGAGGCACGAAAGCGUGGGUAGCAAACAGGAUUAGAUACCCUGGUAGUCCACGCUGUAAACGAUGAUUACUAGGUGUGGGGGGUCUGACCCCUUCCGUGCCGGAGUUAACACAAUAAGUAAUCCACC